UACGAGGGGUGCAAGCGUUGCUCGGAAUUAUUGGGCGUAAAGGGUAGGUAGGUGGUCUCAUUUGUCAGGGGUGAAAGCCUUGGGCUUAACCCAAGAAGUGCCCCUGAAACGGUGAGACUGGAGUCCUGGAGAGGGUCGUGGAAUUCCCGGUGUAGCGGUGAAAUGCGUAGAGAUCGGGAGGAACACCAGAGGCGAAGGCGGCGACCUGGACAGGUACUGACACUCAACUACGAAAGCGUGGGUAGCAAACAGG
rnacentral:rRNA from 1 species